AGAAAACAUUAGAAAAUCUUAGUAUGCCUCAAGGUACCCAGUGAUGUUCUGCCAUGGAUGGCAGAACAAGGCUUCAUGAACCAUGGACGGUUCAUUGAAUGCCGGUCACGUCUUUUCAUAAUAAUCUUCAUUAUGCAUACUUAGACUUUUCUUA
rnacentral:ncRNA from 1 species